rnacentral:rRNA from 1 species
CAGUGCUGCAGCUAACGCAUUAAGCACUCCGCCUGGGGAGUACGACCGCAAGGUUGAAACUCAAAGGAAUUGACGGGGGCCCGCACAAGCGGUGGAGCAUGUGGUUUAAUUCGAAGCUACGCGAAGAACCUUACCAGGUCUUGACAUCUUCUGCCAACNUAAGAGAUUAGACGUUCCCUUCGGAGACAUGGAUACAGGUGGUGCAUGGUUGUCGUCAGCUCGUGUCGUGAGAUGUUGGGUUAAGUCCCGCAACGAGCGCAACCCUUAUUAUCAGUUGCCAGCAUUAAGUUGGGCACUCUGGUGAGACUGCCGGUGACAAACCGGAGGAAGGUGGGGAUGACGUCAAAUCAUCAUGCCCCUUAUGACCUGGGCUACACACGUGCUACAAUGGAUGGUACAACGAGUUGCGAACUCGCGAGAGUAAGCUAAUCUCUUAAAGCCAUUCUCAGUUCGGAUUGUAGGCUGCAACUCGCCUACAAGAAGUCGGAAUCGCUAGUAAUCGCGGAUCAGCAUGCCGCGGUGAAUACGUUCCCGGGCCUUGUACACACCGCCCGUCACACCAUGAGAGUUUGUAACACCCAAAGUCGGUGGGGUAACCUUUUAGGAACCAGCCGCCUAAGGUGGGACAGAUGAUUAGGGUGAAGUCGUAACAAGGUAACC